CUUGCCUGUAAUCCCCGAACUUUGGGAGGCUGAGGCAGGUGGAUUGCUUGAGCCCAGGAGUUCAAGACCAGCCUGGGCAACAUGUAAGACCUCAUCUCUACAAAAAAUACACACAAAAAAAAAUUAGCUGGGAAUGUUGGAGUGUGCCUGUAGUCCCAGCUACUUGCGUGCUAAAGUGGGAAGAUCCCUUGAGCCCAGGAGGCUGAGGUUGUGGUGAACCGAGAUCGUGCCACUGCACUCCAGCCUGGGUGACAGAGCAAGACUCUGUCUCAAAAACAAAAAAAGAAGUGAGGAGAUGCUGCAAAUGCCCACGCCCCCAAACCACACCCUGGAGGUGUUUGUGUAAAAACCCAUCUUUUGUGACUUGUGUGUUCUCUUCGUUACAGCCACCUGAAACACAGAAGGGGAGCUCGCUGGGUUUCAGACAAAGGUCAAUGUGGGGUGGCAUGGCAGCACGGAUUGGAGGCUGUCAGAUCAAAGAGAUGCCCCAGAGUGGCCUCAGAUGA
rnacentral:lncRNA from 13 species